rnacentral:rRNA from 1 species
AACGAACGCUGGCGGCAUGCCUAACACAUGCAAGUCGAACGGGAUCCUGGCUUCGGCCAGGUGAGAGUGGCGGACGGGUGAGUAGCGCGUGGGAACCUGCCCAUUGGUCUGGGAUAACUGCGGGAAACUGCAGCUAAUACCGGAUGUACCCGAGAGGGGAAAGAUUUAUCGCCGAUGGAGGGGCCCGCGUCAGAUUAGGUAGUUGGUGAGGUAACGGGCUCACCAAGCCUACGAUCUGUAGCUGGUCUGAGAGGAUGAUCAGCCACACUGGGACUGAGAUACGGCCCAGACUCCUACGGGAGGCAGCAGUGGGGAAUAUUGGACAAUGGGGGCAACCCUGAUCCAGCAAUGCCGCGUGAGUGAUGAAGGCCUUAGGGUUGUAAAGCUCUUUUGUGGGGGAAGAUAAUGACGGUACCCCAAGAAGAAGCCCCGGCUAACUCCGUGCCAGCAGCCGCGGU